UACGGAGGGUACAAGCGUUAUCCGGAUUUACUGGGUUUAAAGGGUGUGUAGGCGGGUCUUUAAGUCAGUGGUGAAAUCUCCGAGCUUAACUUGGAAACUGCCAUUGAUACUAUUGAUCUUGAAUUCUGUUGAGGUGGGCGGAAUAUGUCAUGUAGCGGUGAAAUGCUUAGAUAUGACAUAGAACACCAAUUGCGAAGGCAGCUCACUAAACAGAUAUUGACGCUGAGGCACGAAAGCGUGGGGAUCAAACAGG
rnacentral:rRNA from 1 species